rnacentral:rRNA from 1 species
AACCUUCUGUAUCCGCGAGAUCCCAUCUUGGAGCCUUCGCCGGCGCUUCGCCGGAGGGGGAGUCAACCACGGAGGGCUUCUACAUCAACACCAUAGCCCCUCCGAUGAGUUGUGAGUAGUUUACCACAGACCUUCGGGUCCAUAGUUAUUAGCUAGAUGGCUUCUUCUCUCUUUUUGGAUCUCAAUACAAUGUUCUCCCCCU